rnacentral:rRNA from 1 species
UACAGAGGGGGCAAGCGUUGUUCGGAAUUACUGGGCGUAAAGGGCGCGUAGGCGGCCUUCUAAGUCGAACGUGAAAUCCCCGGGCUCAACCCGGGAACUGCGUCCGAUACUGGAAGGCUUGAAUCCGGGAGAGGGAUGCGGAAUUCCAGGUGUAGCGGUGAAAUGCGUAGAUAUCUGGAGGAACACCCGUAGCGAAGGCGGUUCUCUGGGCCGGUACUGACGCUGAGGAGCGAAAGCGUGGGGAGCAAACAGG